rnacentral:rRNA from 1 species
AAUGAACGCUGGCGGCGUGCCUAACACAUGCAAGUCGAGCGAGAAAGUCUCUUCGGAGAUUAGUACAGCGGCGGACGGGUGAGUAAUACGCAGGAACCUGCCCUUUGGUGAGGAAUACUCUUGAGAAAUCGAGAAUAAUACCGCAUAAGUCCCUACGGGGAGAAAGGCGGCUUUAAUGCUGUCGUCAGAGGAUGGGCUUGCGUGCUAUCAGCUAGUUGGUGGGGUAAAGGCCUACCAAGGCUAUGACGGCUAACCGGCCUGAGAGGGUGUACGGUCACACUGGAACUGAGACACGGUCCAGACUCCUACGGGAGGCAGCAGUGGGGAAUAUUGCGCAAUGGGCGAAAGCCUGACGCAGCGACGCCGCGUGGAGGAUGAAGGUUUUAGGAUUGUAAACUCCUGUUAAGUGGGAAGAAAAGCCUAUCAGUAAUAUGGGUAGGUUAUGACGGUACCACUAGAGAAAGCACCGGCUAACUUCGUGCCAGCAGCCGCGGUAAUACGGA